AUACGGAGGGUGCAAGCGUUAUCCGGAAUCAUUGGGUUUAAAGGGUCCGUAGGCGGGCUAAUAAGUCAGGGGUGAAAUCCCACAGCUUAACUGUGGAACUGCCCUUGAUACUGUUGGUCUUGAGUUACAGUGAAGUGGUUAGAAUGUGUAGUGUAGCGGUGAAAUGCAUAGAGAUUACACAGAAUACCGAUUGCGAAGGCAGAUCACUAACUGUAUACUGACGCUAAUGGACGGAAGCGUGGGGAGCGAACAGGAUUAGAAACCCUAGUAGUCC
rnacentral:rRNA from 1 species